rnacentral:misc_RNA from 1 species
CUGCCCUCAAGCCCGGCUUGUGUGUUGGGCCCUGUCCCCCUCUCCGGGGGACAGGCCCGAAAGGCAGCGGCGGCACCGAGUCCGGUCCUCGAGCGUAUGGGGCUUUGUCACCCGCUCUGUAGGCCCGGCCGGCGCCAGCCGACAACCCAUCAUCCUUUUCA